rnacentral:tRNA from 1 species
AGAGUUUCAUUAUUUUUUGCUUACAACAAAAAAUCUUUUAACUCUUCUG